ACCAUCGUCUUGGUUUGCCUGGGACCGAGGGGCUCCCCGGGACAUGGGACCUUCGGUGCUACGACUGG
rnacentral:miRNA from 1 species